CUGGUUGAUCCUGCCAGUAGUUAAAUGCUUGCCUCAAAGAUUAAGCCAUGCAUGUCUAAGUACAUGCAGUAAUAAGGCGAAACCGCGAAUGGCUCAUUAAAUCAGUUAUGGUUCCUUGGAUCGUACCUUACUACUUGGAUAAUUGUGGCAAUUCUAGAGAUAAUACAUGCAGCAGAGCUCGACCCUCUGGGGACGACAGCUUUUAUUAGACCAAAACCAAUUGGACCUCGUGUCCGUAAUAUGUAGUGACUCUAUAAUUUUGAACUGAUCGCACGGGUUCGUCCCGUAUCUUUCAAGUGUCUGCCUUAUCAACUGUCGAUGUUAGGUUACGCACCUACCAUGGUCGUAACGGGUGACGGGGAAUCAGGGUUCGAUUCCGAAGAGAGAGUAAUAUAAAUGGUUACUACAUCUAAGGAAGGCAUUAGCAGCGCAAAUUACCCGUUCCCAGAACGGGGAGAUAGUGACGAAAAAUAACAAUAUGGGACUCUUUUGAGACCCCGUAAGUGGAAUGAGUACACUCUAAAUCCUUUAACGAGUGUCAUUU
rnacentral:ncRNA from 1 species